rnacentral:rRNA from 1 species
UACGAAGGGGGCUAGCGUUGCUCGGAAUCACUGGGCGUAAAGCGCACGUAGGCGGUCUUUUAAGUCAGGGGUGAAAUCCUGGAGCUCAACUCCAGAACUGCCUUUGAUACUGAGAGGCUUGAGUCCGGGAGAGGUGAGUGGAACUGCGAGUGUAGAGGUGAAAUUCGUAGAUAUUCGCAAGAACACCAGUGGCGAAGGCGGCUCACUGGCCCGGUACUGACGCUGAGGUGCGAAAGCGUGGGGGAGCAAACAGGG